AACGAACGCUGGCGGCAGGCCUAACACAUGCAAGUCGAGCGAACCCUUCGGGGUUAGCGGCGGACGGGUUAGUAACGCGUGGGAAUAUACCCUUUGGUACGGAAUAGCCUCGGGAAACUGAGAGUAAUACCGUAUGUGCCCUUCGGGGGAAAGAUUUAUCGCCAAAGGAUUAGCCCGCGUUGGAUUAGAUAGUUGGUGGGGUAAUGGCCUACCAAGUCUACGAUCCAUAGCUGGUUUGAGAGGAUGAUCAGCAACACUGGGACUGAGACACGGCCCAGACUCCUACGGGAGGCAGCAGUGGGGAAUCUUAGACAAUGGGCGCAAGCCUGAUCUAGCCAUGCCGCGUGGACGAUGAAGGCCUUAGGGUUGUAAAGUCCUUUCAGAUGGGAAGAUAAUGACGGUACCAUCAGAAGAAGCCCCGGCUAACUCCGUGCCAGCAGCCGCGGUAAUGUCUGUACU
rnacentral:rRNA from 1 species